rnacentral:lncRNA from 1 species
CUACACUAAGUUCUGGAGAUUUAUUUUGAAAACUUACAAAUCACAUGAUGAGUUCCUAGCAUACAAAACUACCUACCACAGCCAUACUUGCUAUAACAUCUUUUACUAUAUUCACAUUGAGUUUGAUCGAGCUGUGUAGACCCUUAGGAGCUUUUCAUGUGGUUAAAUUAAGAUAUUCACUUGCACACAUCUACCACAGCAUCCAUCAUCAAUCAUUAAAAUUGCUAAAAAUAUUUUCACUCACUGUCCCGAGUAUUGUUAUUCUCUCUCUCUAAAAAGAUUCAGUGCAGAAGAGGCAUGGGUUAUGCAAAAAUAUGCGAGGAAAUAAAAAGGGGCAAGUGCCCGGAACCUCGAUAAAGAAAGAAAAAGAGUGAGACGAGAGGUAAAAAUGGACAAGUGUCCGAAGUAGAAUUAGGGGUACAAAGAUGCCCACUUGAGCGAAAAAAAUGGACAAGUGUCCGACAGUAGAAUUAGGGGUAUCUACUACCCACCUGAAAAAGAAAGAGAAAAAAAGAAAGAAAAGAUAGCCCAUGUUUCCCAAAAGCAAAGAUCAAAGAAGAGGAGAGAUAGCAAUAUGAGGAGCAAUGAGAACUAAGUUUUAUUAACACUUAUACAUUUUCACCAUCACUAUCAUUUACUCCACCACACAUGCACAUCUUAAUUUAAUUAUAUGCUGAGUUCCUUUGGAUCCAUGGCUCGAUUAGACAAUAUAUGUACGAGCUGUUUUUCACUCCUAUGAGCUCCACUUAAAUAUUCCAUUAGCUAUAGGUAAGUGACAUUAUGGUAAGGAUCCACAAAUACCACAUAUAGAGAGACUUGAGAGAAUCAUUGCUGGGAACUCUGAGUUUUAUUUUGAAAACUUAUAAAAAACUAUAGAACAAAGGUGAAGUAUAGAC